GAUGAAGAACGUAGCGAAAUGCGAUAAGUAAUGUGAAUUGCAGAAUUCAGUGAAUCAUCGAAUCUUUGAACGCACAUUGCGCCCGCCAGUAUUCUGGCGGGCAUGCCUGUUCGAGCGUCAUUUCAACCAUCAAGCCCCAGGCUUGUGUUGGGGACCUGCGGCUGCCGCAGGCCCUGAAAACCAGUGGCGGGCUCGCUGUCACACCGGGCGUAGUAGAUUUUAUCUCGCUCAGGGCGUGCUGCGGGUUCCGGCCGUUAAAAAGCCUUUUUUACCCAAGGUUGACCUCGGAUUAGGUAGGAGUACCCGCUGAACUUAAGCAUAUCAAUAAGCGGAGGA
rnacentral:misc_RNA from 1 species